UGUGUGUGAGACAUCACAUUAAAAACAUCAGUUCUCGUCCGAUCACCAGUUAAGCAAUGUGGAGCCUUGUUAGUACUUAGAUCGGUGACUGCUUGGGAAACCUAGGUGCGAUAAACAU
rnacentral:rRNA from 1 species